rnacentral:rRNA from 3 species
AGAGUUUGAUCCUGGCUCAGGAUGAACGCUGGCGGCGUGCCUAAUACAUGCAAGUCGAGCGAACGGACGAGAAGCUUGCUUCUCUGAUGUUAGCGGCGGACGGGUGAGUAACACGUGGAUAACCUACCUAUAAGACUGGGAUAACUUCGGGAAACCGGAGCUAAUACCGGAUAAUAUUUUGAACCGCAUGGUUCAAAAGUGAAAGACGGUCUUGCUGUCACUUAUAGAUGGAUCCGCGCUGCAUUAGCUAGUUGGUAAGGUAACGGCUUACCAAGGCAACGAUGCAUAGCCGACCUGAGAGGGUGAUCGGCCACACUGGAACUGAGACACGGUCCAGACUCCUACGGGAGGCAGCAGUAGGGAAUCUUCCGCAAUGGGCGAAAGCCUGACGGAGCAACGCCGCGUGAGUGAUGAAGGUCUUCGGAUCGUAAAACUCUGUUAUUAGGGAAGAACAUAUGUGUAAGUAACUGUGCACAUCUUGACGGUACCUAAUCAGAAAGCCACGGCUAACUACGUGCCAGCAGCCGCGGUAAUACGUAGGUGGCAAGCGUUAUCCGGAAUUAUUGGGCGUAAAGCGCGCGUAGGCGGUUUUUUAAGUCUGAUGUGAAAGCCCACGGCUCAACCGUGGAGGGUCAUUGGAAACUGGAAAACUUGAGUGCAGAAGAGGAAAGUGGAAUUCCAUGUGUAGCGGUGAAAUGCGCAGAGAUAUGGAGGAACACCAGUGGCGAAGGCGACUUUCUGGUCUGUAACUGACGCUGAUGUGCGAAAGCGUGGGGAUCAAACAGGAUUAGAUACCCUGGUAGUCCACGCCGUAAACGAUGAGUGCUAAGUGUUAGGGGGUUUCCGCCCCUUAGUGCUGCAGCUAACGCAUUAAGCACUCCGCCUGGGGAGUACGACCGCAAGGUUGAAACUCAAAGGAAUUGACGGGGACCCGCACAAGCGGUGGAGCAUGUGGUUUAAUUCGAAGCAACGCGAAGAACCUUACCAAAUCUUGACAUCCUUUGACAACUCUAGAGAUAGAGCCUUCCCCUUCGGGGGACAAAGUGACAGGUGGUGCAUGGUUGUCGUCAGCUCGUGUCGUGAGAUGUUGGGUUAAGUCCCGCAACGAGCGCAACCCUUAAGCUUAGUUGCCAUCAUUAAGUUGGGCACUCUAAGUUGACUGCCGGUGACAAACCGGAGGAAGGUGGGGAUGACGUCAAAUCAUCAUGCCCCUUAUGAUUUGGGCUACACACGUGCUACAAUGGACAAUACAAAGGGCAGCGAAACCGCGAGGUCAAGCAAAUCCCAUAAAGUUGUUCUCAGUUCGGAUUGUAGUCUGCAACUCGACUACAUGAAGCUGGAAUCGCUAGUAAUCGUAGAUCAGCAUGCUACGGUGAAUACGUUCCC